GCCGAUGAGGGGUCAGACCUCCUGCCGGAUCACAACCUUGCCAAGGUUGGGGUCGAGGGUUCGAAUCCCUUCGCCCGCU
rnacentral:tRNA from 1 species